CCUACGGGCGGCAGCAGUAGGGAAUAUUCCACAAUGGACGAAAGUCUGAUGGAGCAACGCCGCGUGUGUGAUGAAGGGUUUCGGCUCGUAAAACACUGUUGUAAGAGAAGAAUGACAUUUAGAGUAACUGUUCAGUGUGUGACGGUAUCUUACCAGAAAGGAACGGCUAAAUACGUGCCAGCAGCCGCGGUAAUACGUAUGUUCCAAGCGUUAUCCGGAAUUAUUGGGCGUAAAGCGCGCGCAGUCGGUUGUUUACGUCCGAAGUGACAGCACACAGCUUAACUGGGGAAGUGCUAUGGAAACUGGAUAGCUUGAGUUUAGUAGAGUAGAAUCGAACUUCAUGUGUAGCGGUGACAUGCGUAGAUAUAUGGAAGAACACCAGUGGCGAAGGCGGCUCUCUGGACUGUAUCUGACGUUGAGGCUCGAAAGUGUGGGUAGCAAACAGGAUUAGAUACCCGAGUAGUC
rnacentral:rRNA from 1 species